rnacentral:rRNA from 1 species
UACAGAGGGUGCAAGCGUUGUUCGGAAUUAUUGGGCGUAAAGCGCGUGUAGGCGGCUUGGCAAGUCGGGUGUGAAAGCCCUCAGCUCAACUGAGGAAGUGCGCCCGAAACUGCUGAGCUUGAGUGCCGGAGAGGGUGGCGGAAUUCCCCAAGUAGAGGUGAAAUUCGUAGAUAUGGGGAGGAACACCGGUGGCGAAGGCGGCCACCUGGACGGUUACUGACGCUGAGACGCGAAAGCGUGGGGAGCAAACGGG